AAUAAUCUAGUUAAAAAAUUAAUAACAUAAGAAUGUCAAUCUUAAAUUACUAAAAGUGUUUAUUA
rnacentral:tRNA from 1 species